rnacentral:rRNA from 1 species
CAGGUGGUGCAUGGUUGUCGUCAGCUCGUGUCGUGAGAUGUUGGGUUAAGUCCCGCAACGAGCGCAACCCUUGAUCUUAGUUGCCAGCAUUCAGUUGGGCACUCUAAGGUGACUGCCGGUGACAAACCGGAGGAAGGUGGGGAUGACGUCAAAUCAUCAUGCCCCUUAUGACCUGGGCUACACACGUGCUACAAUGGACAGAACAAAGGGCAGCGAAACCGCGAGGUUAAGCCAAUCCCACAAAUCUGUUCUCAGUUCGGAUCGCAGUCUGCAACUCGACUGCGUGAAGCUGGAAUCGCUAGUAAUCGCGGAUCAGCAUGCCGCGGUGAAUACGUUCCCGGGCCUUGUACACACCGCCCGUA